rnacentral:rRNA from 1 species
AUGAACGCUGGCGGCGUGCCUAAUACAUGCAAGUCGAGCGAACAGACGAGGAGCUUGCUCCUCUGACGUUAGCGGCGGACGGGUGAGUAACACGUGGAUAACCUACCUAUAAGACUGGGAUAACUUCGGGAAACGGGAGCUAAUACCGGAUAAUAUAUUGAACCGCAUGGUUCAAUAGUGAAAGACGGUUUUGCUGUCACUUAUAGAUGGAUCCGCGCCGCAUUAGCUAGUUGGUAAGGUAACGGCUUACCAAGGCAACGAUGCGUAGCCGACCUGAGAGGGUGAUCGGCCACACUGGAACUGAGACACGGUCCAGACUCCUACGGGAGGCAGCAGUAGGGAAUCUUCCGCAAUGGGCGAAAGCCUGACGGAGCAACGCCGCGUGAGUGAUGAAGGUCUUCGGAUCGUAAAACUCUGUUAUUAGGGAAGAACAAAUGUGUAAGUAACUAUGCACGUCUUGACGGUACCUAAUCAGAAAGCCACGGCUAACUACGUG